UACGGCCAUGGGCGACAAGAAAAGCGAGUCAGCGUAGCGAUGGCUGGACACCUCCAAACGACAUCGACGUCGGAUAAGUCAAAAGAUAAGAGAAGUCCGGCGGAUGGCGAUUAAAUACACCAUGUGGGCAAGGUAACAUGAAAUCCCCUUUUCAUUUCAUUCACAAAAUAUACACUACAAAGUCCAGCAGGCUAAGGGAAGAAAAACAAAACGACGAGAGCAAGACGAAACAACAAAAGAGAAAAUAUAUGCAUG
rnacentral:lncRNA from 1 species